UAGACAAUUUUGAUCUUUUAGGAGAUGG
rnacentral:sRNA from 1 species